CAUUUUUUUCCUCAUACAAUUCCAUUACAAAAUUUAGUUUUUUUUUCAAGAUUACUCCUAGACCCCCGUCCCUUAUUAGAAGAACAAUUCCCUCGAAUAACAUAAUAAUCUCAUAAAAAUGAUACACUGGGUCAAAAUAAAUAAUGAGGAUUAUCACCAUACGCCAACGCCGUUCAUGAUUCUUUCUAAUAGUGACUAAUUUGUUUUGCAAUAGCUUACAUUUUUUUACGAUAAAUAGAAUGCACUGCUCCAUAUUUUAUCUGAUUCAUUGCUAUGUUUCAAAAACAUUCUCUCCAUCAGCCCCUAUAAUCAAAGUUUGUUCUGUUUGUUUGUGCUCAUGUUUUUUUGCAUAUUUCGUUGAUCGUCCACAAUAGUUGAUGUACCUACGUAAUUACACUCCUAGUCCCAGGUGAUAUACUUGUUAUUUCAUUUUCAGAAAAAAAAUUGUUUUCGUACUCCUAAGUUCACAACUCCAUACUUUAAAAAAACUUCCACUACUCCACUCCAUGCCCCUAAUCCAUCAGCCCAUUGUAAAAUUCAGUGGUACUAAACAGACACACGCUCUCAAAAAAUAGACACACAAUUUUUUAGCCCUAGAGGCAAGUUGCAAGAAAAAAGUUACUGUAGAAUAUUUCCUUUUUGCUUUCCCCCACGCCUCCCAGGUCACAAUAGUUCUCUGCUCUAUCGUUAUAGUCCCUCAAGCUGGCUCUACCAAAUCGAAUGGCAUGCUCCUACUUCACCAAAGCUGCGAAGGAGAUGCUCUUGGAGGUCAAGUCUGGCAGAAAUGGAGAUGUGCGUUCGAGCCGCAGAUCUUGCGUCGCCUACCAGCAAGGCCGCAUCUCACUAUUUCUGCUUUGUAGAGGCAGAUCGGUCGCCGGGUAGGCCACCGGAGAUUAUGAGAGGUGUUGCUUGCUGCUAGGUUCUCCGAGAGUGUUCUGCUCUCCUGUUCGUGGCUCUGGGACAGAGAGCUGUGUCGUUAGGUUGAACGACCAUCUUCUCCGUAGCAUUCCACGUCUGAAGCGGAGCAGUAAGGACAGAGUCUGUAGGCAAAGGCGGGUUUUGGGCUUCCUCAUUGCUGGUGCCAUCGCCUUUCACCCAUUAAUUUGCUACAACUUUGCCUCAUUUCUACUUCAUCGGGAUUGGCUUAUUCUUGACAUGUAAGUUUCCCCAUUGCAGGUGGUUUAAUAGUAUUCUUUUUUUGUUGCUAACAUAUAUUAGCAAGUUAUAUACCUAUAUGUGUAUUUAGGACAAAGCAAUAAGGAUUAAAUGUAUUAACUGGAAUUUGGUUCAUAUAUCUUAAUUGACAUGCAAUGAAUUUUUUGCCUAUGGUGUAGGCGAUGCCUGUAAUAUUGCAGUUUUCCCUCACGAUCAUGGUCUCUUGAUUUUAAACAGGCCAUAGGCUAGAAUAGUUGUUACCAAGAAUAUAAAAUUCACCAAAAGUACAUGUCUGAAUGUAUUUAAAAUAAUUAUAAUGUAAUAUGUUUUUGAUAGUGCUAACAUUUGACCUUUGUUAUCUGGUAAGUGUCCUCCUUAUAUUGAUGGAUGUCAAGUAUUCUUACUAUUAUCUCAGUAAACAUAAAUAGUUUGGCUUACUUUCAACAUAAUUAUUGUAUAAUUUUUGUGCUUCCCACCCAAUGAGUUCUGCAAUUUCGAGACCGAUAUAUUAAUAAUUUUUUCGGUCUCCUCGUAAAAUCAAGUGCAGCUUAUAGUAGUUGUACGGUAAUUAAUUUGGCAUCUUUUCAUUGCAAAGUAAACAUAAUCGGGAAGUUACUGUUAAAAUUAGCAGAAUAUAUGCUUACCGAGGUGAUACAAUUUCUGUAUAUAUACCACAACUCUUGUCAAUUUCCUUUGUACCUGCUUUGUGAGAUCACCACAUGACAUAUACCACCAUGUUCCUGUAAUAGAUAUAUUGUAGGUAGCUCAAAGUUCGCAAUCCUGAAAAAACAACCUCAAAACUCAAGUUAGCAAUCUGAAGAAGUUGAGAGACAUAAAUAAAUCAAAUAUGGUUCGUUCUAGCUGAUAUGACUCCAUUAUCAGUCCAGGUUUGGAGUCUUGUUUUCCUCGGAAGUGGUCAUAUCAUAUCCUAGAAGUCUAUACAGUACCUGAUUUGUCUGAUUUUUAUGCCUCAUUCUAGUAAUUUCUUGUAAUGUUCUUCUUUUGUAAAACAUUUUUUCUUCUAGUGUUCCUUUCGUAGUUGUAUCUAUUUUCCAUCAUUUUUGUUAAGUUCCUUCUGCACACAUAUGCAGUUAGUCAAGUAUAGUAAUAUUGGUUAACAAACAGAGUUACUAUUCAUUAGUUGAUAACUAAUAACUGAUAAAAGAUAUUGUUCCAUACCUGCCAAGAAGUUCCUGGGCUUCGGUUAUAUCUAGACCUAUAUAAUUCUUGUGGAAUUGGUAAUCAAUGGUAAAUGUCUUAGAUAUUUUCCCUGUAAAUAACAAAAUAUCUUGUAAACAUUACUGGAUUGAACUUCUGCACCAUCAAGGUUACAAUAGGGACAGUUUAGCUGCCGAUUAAAUCCUCAUUCAAAAAAUAAGGAAACUUUGUCCAUAACGUAACUCCUAUUUUUAUCACCCCUAAAGAGUUCUUUUAUUAUUAUUGAUUCCACAUGCUUCAUUUGGGUGAUUAAUCCAAUCACAAUAAAUUUGGAGAUUAAUUGCUUCACAGUUAGAAAGAUUAAUUAGAUAAGAGCCUUAUUUCAAACUAUAGACUAUAGAGUAUAGACAUACCUGAGCAUUGUUUAUUUUAUCUACCUGUUAUUGUACUUAAUCCGUACCAACGAUUAUAAUUAUAAUUUAACCUCUAGAGAUAGUAGCAUGGAUUUUUAAAUGUUGAUAGUAGCAUGAACUCGGUUGGGCCCUAUCAAAACAGUAAAAUAUAAUUAGGGAUUGUUGUCCAAAACAGUAGAGAAAUCUGUAAUAUGUAAUGCAUUUUUUGUCCAUCAAAAUUAUAUUGAGGCUAAUAAGCUCAUCAACAAUUGUCGUUAAGUCAUUAAGCUUCUUGUAUGCCAUAUUUUUGGGGUUUAAUAGGAGUUGAAAACAACUGAUAAAGUACCUAUGAAGAUUUUAUGCUGAUAAGUGAAUUUAGUAAUAGUAGUAUUUACUAACCUUGAUGAUUCACGUUAGAGACUACUCAGAAGGUUGGGCCUGACUUUGUCGGCACUCGAGCUGAACCUGACAUUGAAGGUUGGCUAAUUUUCUUGUUUGUCCGUCGUUGAAUCACCGGAUGCAUCACAUAACCGGCCGACUUCGACUUUGCUGGUGGCGCGUUGGUUCAUAGGAGAUUCGGCUGACUUCGACUUUCCAAAAAAUAUUGAUCCUAAAUCUUUGGCUGCCUUGCGUUCUUGUUUGUCCGUCGUUGAAUCACUGGAUGCAUCACAUAAUCGGCAGACUUGAGUUUUGCUGGUGGCGUGUUGGUUCAUAGCUGAUUCGGCUGACUUUGACUUUCCAAAAAAUAUUGAUCCUAAAUCUUGGGCUGCCUUGCGUGUGCUGGAUGUGGCCGGUCGAGUGCGUUUAUAUUUUUCGUUGGCUUGGCGGAGUCUGUGUGGAGUCUUUUUUCAGAGGCAUCUGGGCUCUUGCUGAUUAAUCCGUGUGGAGUUUUGCUUCCCUUAUUUGCACACGCCAGUUUGUGGUUGUGUCGGUCUGUCGGACAGAUUGAUGAAGACGUGCUAUGAGGUUUGGAGACGUGCUAGAUGACAGGCGUGUCAGGCAGCUAUGUCUACCCCUGAAUAGUUAUAUGUAACUUUUGUAUAUUUUUAAAUCUCAGCCGUUGUUAUCAAAUAUUGAUGGUGCACAUAAUUUGACUUAUGUGGAUAAAUGUGACAGCUUCUUUUA